rnacentral:rRNA from 1 species
UGUGUGUUAGUGGAAGCGUCUGGAAAGGCGCGCGAUACAGGGUGACAGCCCCGUACACAAAAAUGCACAUGCUGUGAGCUCGAUGAGUAGGGCGGGACACGUGGUAUCCUGUCUGAAUAUGGGGGGACCAUCCUCCAAGGCUAAAUACUCCUGACUGACCGAUAGUGAACCAGUACCGUGAGGGAAAGGCGAAAAGAACCCCGGCGAGGGGAGUGAAAAAGAACCUGAAACCGUGUACGUACAAGCAGUGGGAGCACGCUUAGGCGUGUGACUGCGUACCUUUUGUAUAAUGGGUCAGCGACUUAUAUUCUGUAGCAAGGUUAACCGAAUAGGGGAGCCGAAGGGAAACCGAGUCUUAACUGGGCGUUAAGUUGCAGGGUAUAGACCCGAAACCCGGUGAUCUAGCCAUGGGCAGGUUGAAGGUUGGGUAACACUAACUGGAGGACCGAACCGACUAAUGUUGAAAAAUUAGCGGAUGACUUGUGGCUGGGGGUGAAAGGCCAAUCAAACCGGGAGAUAGCUGGUUCUCCCCGAAAGCUAUUUAGGUAGCGCCUCGUGAAUUCAUCUCCGGGGGUAGAGCACUGUUUCGGCAAGGGGGUCAUCCCGACUUACCAACCCGAUGCAAACUGCGAAUACCGGAGAAUGUUAUCACGGGAGACACACGGCGGGUGCUAACGUCCGUCGUGAAGAGGGAAACAACCCAGACCGCCAGCUAAGGUCCCAAAGUCAUGGUUAAGUGGGAAACGAUGUGGGAAGGCCCAGACAGCCAGGAUGUUGGCUUAGAAGCAGCCAUCAUUUAAAGAAAGCGUAAUAGCUCACUGGUCGAGUCGGCCUGCGCGGAAGAUGUAACGGGGCUAAACCAUGCACCGAAGCUGCGGCAGCGACGCUUAUGCGUUGUUGGGUAGGGGAGCGUUCUGUAAGCCUGUGAAGGUGUGCUGUGAGGCAUGCUGGAGGUAUCAGAAGUGCGAAUGCUGACAUAAGUAACGAUAAAGCGGGUGAAAAGCCCGCUCGCCGGAAGACCAAGGGUUCCUGUCCAACGUUAAUCGGGGCAGGGUGAGUCGACCCCUAAGGCGAGGCCGAAAGGCGUAGUCGAUGGGAAACAGGUUAAUAUUCCUGUACUUGGUGUUACUGCGAAGGGGGGACGGAGAAGGCUAUGUUGGCCGGGCGACGGUUGUCCCGGUUUAAGCGUGUAGGCUGGUUUUCCAGGCAAAUCCGGAAAAUCAAGGCUGAGGCGUGAUGACGAGGCACUACGGUGCUGAAGCAACAAAUGCCCUGCUUCCAGGAAAAGCCUCUAAGCAUCAGGUAACAUCAAAUCGUACCCCAAACCGACACAGGUGGUCAGGUAGAGAAUACCAAGGCGCUUGAGAGAACUCGGGUGAAGGAACUAGGCAAAAUGGUGCCGUAACUUCGGGAGAAGGCACGCUGAUAUGUAGGUGAAGUCCCUCGCGGAUGGAGCUGAAAUCAGUCGAAGAUACCAGCUGGCUGCAACUGUUUAUUAAAAACACAGCACUGUGCAAACACGAAAGUGGACGUAUACGGUGUGACGCCUGCCCGGUGCCGGAAGGUUAAUUGAUGGGGUCAGCGCAAGCGAAGCUCUUGAUCGAAGCCCCGGUAAACGGCGGCCGUAACUAUAACGGUCCUAAGGUAGCGAAAUUCCUUGUCGGGUAAGUUCCGACCUGCACGAAUGGCGUAAUGAUGGCCAGGCUGUCUCCACCCGAGACUCAGUGAAAUUGAACUCGCUGUGAAGAUGCAGUGUACCCGCGGCAAGACGGAAAG